GCGGGUGUAGCUCAAUGGUAGAGCAACAGCCUUCCAAGCUGAAGACGGGGGUUCGAUUCCCCUCACCCGCUCCA
rnacentral:tRNA from 2 species